rnacentral:rRNA from 1 species
CGAGUUUGAUCCUGGCUCAGAAUCAACGCUGGCGGCGUGCCUCAGACAUGCAAGUCGAACGAUUAAAGCUCUCUUCGGAGAGUGUAUAGAGUGGCGCACGGGUGAGUAACACGUAAGUAAUCUACCCUCGAGUGGGGAAUAACAACCGGAAACGGUUGCUAAUACCGCAUAAUGCAGCGGCACCGCAAGGUGACAGUUGUUAAAGAUUUAUCGCUUGAGGAGGAGCUUGCGGCAGAUUAGCUAGUUGGUAGGGUAACGGCUUACCAAGGCUACGAUCUGUAACCGGUCUAAGAGGACGGUCGGUCACACUGACACUGAAUAACGGGUCAGACUCCUACGGGAGGCAGCAGUCGGGAAUUUUGGGCAAUGGGCGAAAGCCUGACCCAGCAACGCCGCGUGAAGGAUGAAGUAUUUCGGUAUGUAAACUUCGAAAGAAUAGGAAGAAUUAAUGACGGUACUAUUUAUAAGGUCCGGCUAACUACGUG